WGARCAAGAGUACGUGAAACCGUUUAGGGGUAAACCUGAGAAACCCGAAAGGUCGAAGGGAGAAAUUCAUUCGCGUCUCGACGCAGGCGUCGGACGGGGUCGAGCGACGGAACUCGCGCUAGUUCHUCGGAAUCGCGAGUUUCGCGCCCUCCGUCCUUCGAACCGGCUGCGAACGCGUGCACUCUUUCUCCUGGUAGGACGUCGCGAUCCGUCGGGUGUCGGUCUACGACUUGCGGUGGAGACCGUCCGUCGUUCUUAAUCGAACGUACGGCGSGGACCCGCUCGUUCCGGCCGACUCGCUCGACGGUACACGUAAGGUCGAGGGUCGCUCGAAAAAAAUUUUUUUUUUUUUACGAGAAGCGUUCGACUCGUCGCAAGCGCGCCACGUGCGUCGGCACGCGGACCCGGUGCCGCGUCCGAUCUCUGGUGACUGUUGGCGACGACGUUCUCGGACAGACCUCGUCGGCGGCGCGGCGGCGGCGGCGGAAUUUUCGGAUUUCGUCGUUCGUUCGUUCGUCCGUCCGUCGAACGGAAGACCGAUCGGCGACGCUAUAGCUUUGGGUACUUUCAGGACCCGUCUUGAAACACGGACCAAGGAGUCUAGCAUGUACGCGAGUCAUUGGGAUUUUUACUAAACCUAAAGGCGCAAUGAAAGUGAAGGUCUUCCUCGCGAAGACCGUGGGAAGACGGACGGGGGCAUACGUAGGUCCGAGGUACCGCUCGAUCGCCCGUCCUGCAUUCCCGGGGCGUCUCGUUCACAUCGCGUGAAGAGGCGCACCGCGAGCGUACACGCUGGGACCCGAAAGAUGGUGAACUAUGCCUGGUCAGGACGAAGUCAGGGGAAACCCUGAUGGAGGUCCGUAGCGAUU
rnacentral:rRNA from 1 species